CUGUUUACAGCUGUCUGCAUUACCCAACAAUCAAUAUGGAAGAUGUCAGUGACCACUUGAUGGUCCUCAGUGUUCAGAGAGGGUGCCCAUAGGUGAGGAGACACAGCCACGGGACUCUGAGACCCGAUGUGGAGGACACGCUGCUUUGAAAUGAGGGGAUCGCUCUCAGACGACAAGCUGAGAGCAGUCUGAGCAUUCUUGCUACCAAAUCAGCGUCUAGCCCAGCAGGCCACUGUCAUGGCUACCCUAAGGCAGAACAUGUCUGAGCACAGGUGCAGGAGUAGAAUGUAUGCACAAACCUGGAAGAAGCCUAUGAUGGCCACCUCGGCAGUCUUGGCUUCUUCAGCAUCUGCCGGGACUUCUGGGAGCAGGCCACACAUGAGGAUAAAUGAAAGGACGAGGCAUCUGAACCAGGAGACUCCCAUUGUUGUCCCGUUCUAGCCCUGGAUGUUGAGGUUGGGGUUGCCG